rnacentral:snRNA from 1 species
GUGUUCACUCCAGCAGCACAUGUACUGAAAAUUAGACGAAAACAGAGAAGAUGAGCAUGGUCCCUGCACAAGGAUGGCACGCAAAUUCAUGAAACAUUUUAUAGUUUU